CACAGGAAAGAAAUGAAGAGAAUAAAACCUUGUCUGCUCUUGAAAGUAAAACCUCUAAUAUUCGAUUCUUUUUCACCCGCUCCCUGUUGUGCCCUCUUGGCCUGAGUCCAUUCCUCAAGAAGAAAAGAAUAACAGUUAAACAUAACAUUGUCUACCACAUGCUACCAAAUCCUAAAUUUUGCUGCCUAGGCAAAAGCUUUGAAAGACAGGACCAACUAAACAGGUCCACUUGUGCGGGUGAUGGUGGUAAUGGAACCUGUGUGCCCAUCUUCUCCAGAUUUUGGGAUCUCCUCAAGGCAUUCUUGAGGUGAAAAUCUUCAAACGAUGCAAGAUGAAGAAAUGUUGGGGCAAGAGAACCAGCUUGAAAACUGAUGUACAUUCUGGAAAAAAAAAACGAAAAAGAAAAGAAAAAUUCUAAAACAAACUUGGGACGAAAGAUGCUUCACAUCACAACACAUCCAAGAGAGUAAAUACAUUAUUUAUUAUAUGCUUCUUCUAUCGAAAUAAGUUUCAACACAAGGACGUUUACCUUGUAUAAUUCUGACCUUUGAUAUUUGCUUCAUGCUACACGUGAAGCUUCUCAUUGAAAUAAUUGUCUCCAGAACUGGGUGGUGGAAGCAAUUGUGAUGUAGCAUUGCUACUUGGGAA